GAUGAACGCUGGCGGCGUGCCUAAUACAUGCAAGUCGAGCGAACUGAUUAGAAGCUUGCUUCUAUGACGUUAGCGGCGGACGGGUGAGAACACGUGGGCAACCUGCCUGUAAGACUGGGAUAACUUCGGGAAACCGAAGCUAAUACCGGAUAGGAUCCUCUCCUUCAUGGGAGAUGAUUGAAAGAUGGUUUCGGCUAUCACUUACAGAUGGGCCCGCGGUGCAUUAGCUAGUUGGUGAGGUAACGGCUCACCAAGGCAACGAUGCAUAGCCGACCUGGGAGGGUGAGCGGCCACACUGGGACUGAGACACGGCCCAGACUCCUACGGGAGGCAGCAGUAGGGAAUCUUCCGCAAUGGACGAAAGUCUGACGGGGCAACGCCGCGUGAGUGAUGAAGGCUUUCGGGUCGUAAAACUCUGUUGUUAGGGAAGAACAAGUACAAGAGUAACUGCUUGUACCUUGACGGUACCUAACCAGAAAGCCACGGCUAACUACGUGCCAGCAGCCGCAGUAAUAC
rnacentral:rRNA from 1 species